rnacentral:rRNA from 1 species
CAUAUCCAAAAGCGGAGGAAAAGAAACUAACAAGGAUUCCCCUAGUAGCGGCGAGCGAAGCGGGAAGAGCUCAAAUUUAUAAUCUGGCACCUUCGGUGUCCGAGUUGUAAUCUCUAGAAAUGUUUUCCGCGUUGGACCGCACACAAGUCUGUUGGAAUACAGCGGCAUAGUGGUGAGACCCCCGUAUAUGGUGCGGACGCCCAGCGCUUUGUGAUACAUUUUCGAAGAGUCGAGUUGUUUGGGAAUGCAGCUCAAAUUGGGUGGUAAAUUCCAUCUAAAGCUAAAUAUUGGCGAGAGACCGAUAGCGAACAAGUACCGUGAGGGAAAGAUGAAAAGCACUUUGGAAAGAGAGUUAACAGUACGUGAAAUUGUUGGAAGGGAAACGCUUGAAGUCAGACUUGCUUGCCGAGCAAUCGGUUUGCAGGCCAGCAUCAGUUUUCCGGGAUGGAUAAUGGUAGAGAGAAGGUAGCAGUUUCGGCUGUGUUAUAGCUCUCUGCUGGAUACAUCUUGGGGGACUGAGGAACGCAGUGUGCCUUUGGCGGGGGUUUCGACCUCUUCACACUUAGGAUGCUGGUGGAAUGGCUUUAAACGACCCGUCUUGAAACGGGGAGCAAA